GAGGAGUGGCCGAGCGGUUUAAGGCGGCGGUCUCGAAAACCGUUUCCCGGUUUCGCCGGGACGCAGGUUCGAAUCCUGCCUCCUCC
rnacentral:tRNA from 1 species